AUGGGGUCCAACCAGGACGCCAUGGAAACCAACUCCGCUUUUCCUCAUUCUUGUUACGCCGUAGUCCAGCAGCUGUCGGGUUCUACACCUGAGCUGACGCCCAGCACAGCUGUGUGUUGUGCUGUGUGCGGUGAGGUGCUGUGCUGUGCUGCUCAGCGGCAGCGCCGCUUGUACGGCAGCAGCAGUUCGCAGCCCGUAGGACCGCCCGGGAGCGCAGCACAGCCGCGGCGUCGCAGUGAAGAAAAGCGCCCAUCUCCGCGCGCCGCUGCAGCGGAGCCACCCCCGGCGGCGCUGCCCCCACACGUCCCUCCCUCCCGCAGGGCGGGGUUCCGGCGCGCGGCCGCCUCCUUCUCCUCCUCCUCCUCCUCUUUCUUCGGCGGCUGCGGAGUUCACGGCGGCGGAGCUGUGGCAGACGCGCGCGGCGCUGGAAACAUCAUCCAUGGCAGCGACUCUGUAGAAAGCCCCCAGAAGGAGAUCAGCCUUUGGUUCAAACCUGCAGAGCUCAUCGACUACAGAUCGUGUGCACAUGUCCGGAUCUAUGAGCGAUGCCGGUUUCCAUAAUGAAUUGUGCCUUCUGAAUGCAUCAUCUCACUCCAGCUAAUGAUCUGGGAGCAAUUAGCACAGCGGUUAUCUUUACAGUUUUUCAGAACAGUCUGCUUAUAAAUAAUGCUUACAGUGCAUUCAUUAUAGAACAGACCUGUUGUGCUGAACUGGGUGAGGUAUGAGGAGGAGCACUCUGUUUUCCUUGCAGAAGGAGGAGCUGUGCUCCAAUACAGGCUUCCCCACCUGGGUGAGUGGGGAGGGAAGGGAUGCAGCACCUCCUAGCACAGCACUGCACUGAAAGGAAAACCUGAGACCCCCAUGACGGCUUCCAGCCCUGUGCACAGCCAUUAACGCCAGCUGUGAGACGAGGCCAGGUGCAAAACCUGCACUGCACAAAGCCUCCCCGUAACACCUCACGGCCCACACACAGACCUCCGCCUGCGCUGUGCCUGCGGGCUCCUCGGCUGAGCGCUCACAGCACCCCCAGGCUGUGAGGACACCGACUUCUCCAAGGGCAGAGCUUUGUGCUAUUCAGCAUAGGUAUAAAAAGGGACGUGAGGGAGCUUUAUUUCCUGCAGACCGAGCAAAAUCAGGUGUUGUACCAGAAAGAAAUGCCGCCUGGAUAAGAAAUCUGUUUGUAUCAGAGCAGGCAGUGAACCAACAGAGCCACUGCAUGCAAAGGGAGCCCUGAGCCUUCAUGAUGCAUUCUUUUAAAGCCGGUUAACCUGAACAAAUUAAGCCGUUGUUGUUGAUAUUAUGGAGUGCAAAAGAUCAAACAGGUGACCUGAAAAAAAAAAAAACCAACAACAUCAAAGGGACUUUGCUUUAAGAAAGAGGACUGCAUUUUGCUAUGGGGGCUGCUGUGGUGCCCAGCAGAUGCUGCCCAACCUGGCAUGAAAUCAGCUGGGAGCUCCUCUGCUGCACAACACCUUUUGUCCUCCAUUCCCCCUUUUUGCAGCUCUGUGGCUGCUCGCCUCUCCUGCUGUGCAGGUUUUGCACCGAGCAAUGAGCAGAAACACGGUGCAGAUCUGAAUGGCACCAACUGACACCGCUGGGGGGGGGCAUAACGUGAGGCCAAAGGGAAACCAUUGGGGCAACAUUGGGUGCCUCACCGAUGACGGGGAAACCGAACGUAACACAGAAAGGAUGAGAGCACAGAGCGGAGGAGUGGAAAGGGAUCCACUGCCACAGCAGCCCUUCCAGUCAGCCCCGUCCUCUGCCAGCCAAGGGCUGCGCAAAUGUCCACAGGGUCAAAAUGGCAAAAAAUGGGGAUUGUGAGGACAGCAAUCUGCUCUUUUAGGGGAACGACAUAACACAGCUCGUGCUUGGGUGGUUAGAAGGCCUCAGAGCAUUGGAAAGAAUGAGACUGCCCAAUCCAGGACACAGAGCUCAGUAUCUGCUCAGUGUGAUUGGAACAACCAGCCCUAACCGUCGUGAUCCAGAUAAUUAAGAAGCCCUUUAUUUCCAGAGCUCAUCCUCCUUAAUUAGUGGAUGACGAUGGAGUAACUCAUCACGGAGGCAUCCUGAGGUAGCGCUGUGGGUAUACCGGCAAGUACCUGCGUGCAUUCACAGCCCGGCUCUGUGCCUGUGCCCGGGUCCCAGAAUUACACACUAAAAGAUGAAACACGAACUACAAAGAACAAAAA
rnacentral:lncRNA from 7 species